rnacentral:rRNA from 1 species
GACGAACGCUGGCGGCGUGCCUAAUACAUGCAAGUCGAGCGAGCUUGCCUAGAUGAAUUUGUUGUUGCCCAGAGGAAACAAGAGACAAGCGAGCGGGGGACGGGGGAGUAACACGUGGGGAACCUGCCCAAGAGACUGGGAGAAAACCUGGAAACAGAGGCGAAUAUCGGAUAACAACACUAGACGCAUGUCUAGAGAUUAAAAGAUGUUGCUGCGAUCUCUCUUGUAGGUACCUGCGGUGCAUUAGCUAGUUGGUAAGGCAACGGCUUACCAAGGCAAUGAUGCAUAGCCGAGUUGAGAGACUGAUCGGCCACAUUGGGACUGAGACACGGCCCAAACUCCUACGGGAGGCAGCAGUAGGGAAUCUUCCACAAUGGACGCAAGUCUGAUGGAGCAACGCCGCGUGAGUGAAGAAGGGUUUCGGCUCGUAAAGCUCUGUUGGUAGUGAAGAAAGAUAGAGGUAGUAACUGGCCUUUAUUUGACGGUAAUUACUUAGAAAGUCACGGCUAACUACGUG